rnacentral:rRNA from 1 species
GACGAACGCUGGCGGCGUGCUUAACACAUGCAAGUCGAACGGAAAGGCCCUGCUUUUGUGGGGUGCUCGAUUGGCGAACGGGUGAGUAACACGUGAGUAACCUGCCCUUGACUUUGGGAUAACUUCAGGAAACUGGGGCUAAUACCGGAUAGGAGCUCCUGCUGCAUGGUGGGGGUUGGAAAGUUUCGGCGGUUGGGGAUGGACUCGCGGCUUAUCAGCUUGUUGGUGGGGUAGUGGCUUACCAAGGCUUUGACGGGUAGCCGGCCUGAGAGGGUGACCGGCCACAUUGGGACUGCGAUACGGCCCAGACGCCUACGGGAGGCAGCAGUGGGGAAUAUUGCACAAUGGGCGGAAGCCUGAUGCAGCAACGCCGCGUGCGGGAUGACGGCCUUCGGGUUGUAAACCGCUUUCGCCUGUGACGAAGCGUGAGUGACGGUAAUGGGUAAAGAAGCACCGGCUAACUACGUG